rnacentral:rRNA from 1 species
CCUACGGGGGGCAGCAGUGGGGAAUAUUGCGCAAUGGGCGAAAGCCUGACGCAGCGACGCCGCGUGAGGGAUGAAGGUCUUCGGAUCGUAAACCUCUGUCAGCAGGGAAGAACGGUCACGGUGCUAAGCAGCAGUGAAUUGACGGUACCUGCAAAGGAAGCACCGGCUAACUCCGUGCCAGCAGCCGCGGUAAGACGGAGGGGGCGAGCGUUAAUCGGAAUUACUGGGCGGAAAGCGCGCGUAGGCGGUAUGUCAAGUCAAGGGUGAAAUCCCCGCGCUCAACGUGGGAACUGCCUUUGAACCUGGCACCCUGGUGUGUGUGAGAGGAUAGUGUAAUUCCCGGUGU